rnacentral:rRNA from 1 species
GAUCAUGGCUCAGGAUGAACGCUGGCGGCGUGCUUAACACAUGCAAGUCGAACGAAGCACUUAUCUUUGAUUCUUCGGAUGAAGAGGUUUGUGACUGAGUGGCGGACGGGUGAGUAACGCGUGGGUAACCUGCCUCAUACAGGGGGAUAACAGUUGGAAACGACUGCUAAUACCGCAUAAGCGCACAGGAUCGCAUGAUCCGGUGUGAAAAACUCCGGUGGU